rnacentral:rRNA from 1 species
UACGAAGGGGGCUAGCGUUGCUCGGAAUUACUGGGCGUAAAGGGUUCGUAGGUGGCUCGCUAAGUCAGACGUGAAAUCCCUCAGCUUAACUGGGGAACUGCGUCUGAGACUGGCAAGCUUGAGUGCAGGAGAGGAACGCGGAAUUCCAGGUGUAGCGGUGAAAUGCGUAGAUAUCUGGAGGAACACCGGUGGCGAAGGCGGCGUUCUGGACUGCAACUGACACUGAUGAACGAAAGCCAGGGGAGCAAACGGG